rnacentral:lncRNA from 1 species
GCGUGGGCACAGGCCCCUGUGGGGGCCGCGGCACCGCAGCAGCAGGCGCAGUGGCUUCUGCCUGGUGCUGCCCGCUCCCUGGGCUGAGGCCAGGCCUAGGCCAGCCUAUCCAAUUGUGCAGUUGGGAGCUGUCCCGCGAGGGUGUCCCUGGAGCUUGCAAUUAGCAGGGCACGGCACUUUCCCCGCCAGCCUGCCGCGUUCUCUCCAGCUGCCUGGCUAUGAGGUUUCCAUCAGUGACUCACAUCUGGGUUGUCUAAAGGAGCGCAGGUCAUUAGGCUGUGAAGAGACAGGGUCAGGCCCAGUUUCCACGGUGACCGUCAUUGCUACUGGUCAGGACAGUGCGGAUACCAUGACUCCAGGAUUGGACCGUCGCUGUCCCACUUCCUGGAAAAGGAAAUACUACAUUCCAGCAGCCACCUGGACAGCCACGGAGGGGCCUACCUGAGGGCGGAGCUAACAGGACAGACGGCAGUGGAGGAGAAGCCGGGCUGCAGCCCGCAGACCACUGCCAAAGCCACCUUUCCUCUGGACUCUCACCGUGCCAUCUGCAAACACUCGGAUUUUCCAGGCCGGUUUCAUCCCGGCUUUAUUAUUGUGGCUAAAGUAAUUCCCAUCAGCCGGUGCUGUUCCCGUCUAGAGGAGGGGUCCACAGCGCCCUCGCCGGGAGACGCCGGAGCCGGUUCAUAGAGCAAGGUCGGGUGCAAAAGGAUCCGGGAGCCUGCUGCGGAAACGUGCGGAGCUUGCACAGGGCCCCAAGAUCGCUGGCCCAGGGAGGGAGGCCGGGCUGCAGCUGACACGCGCCGCAGGGCAGGGCGGCUUCCGGUGAGGUCGCGCCCCCGUGUGCGUCUGCUCUGCCUCCGCCCUCCCCGAGACCGGGUGCCCGAGCUUCUCGGGGCUUCUCCUCUGUUCCUUGGAAGGGCCGGGAACGGUACGGGCUGGAGAGCUGCGCUGUGCGGCAAGGGCCGCUUUUCCAGAGCGCUGUGGCGGCCUUCGCUGUACGCCGGGCGGAAUACUCGGGCUGAGAGGGCUCCGAGAGGGAGCAGAGCAGCAGAGACCGUUCCUGCCGCAGUGGCAGCGGGCAGCUGUGCGAAGCCGCGGUGC